UCCUUGGUGGUCCAGUGGUUAGGACUCCACACUUCCACUGUAGGGGGCCUGGGUUUGAUCCCGGGUGAGGGAA
rnacentral:tRNA from 1 species